CUUUGACUCCCAUUACAUUUAUGAGUUCUGUGAUCUGUUUAUUCUGAGUUCUUUCUUUCAGGGCUGCAAUAAAGUACUUGGUAUUAGUAUCUCCAAGUUGUAUCCAUUUUUCUCUAGCCUUCUGCUGUAGGACACUUUCUUCAAUUAGUGAUCACUUUUCCUGUUUUAAAACUAUCUCUUUCUCUUUCUGCUGCAACUCAUCAGAAUAUGCCUUUGUCAUUUGUUCUUAUACUUCUUUCAGUUCUUGUCUGCAAAGUUCUAUCCUCUGAGGGAUAGUCUUGAACUCCAUAACAUUUAAGGUCUUUAAGGGACCUUUCAAUGCUUUGAGCUUGGACCAUAAUGCUUUCAUAGUUCCUGGGUUAUCAGAAUGUCAGACAUUGGCCACAAUCUGGUGAAACUCCUCAUGUUCAGUCCAUACAUUGAAAAAUUUGAAUGGUAUCUUGCCUUUCCAGGAAGAAGAUGCCAAUGUCACUAUCAUGGGAUUGCGAUCAGAAAUUAGUGGUUGAUCAUAUAAAGUUUCCACUUGAUCAUCCACUCAUAAUUUCCAAAUACUCUAUCCAAUCUGCUAUAUACUCUAUCUA
rnacentral:lncRNA from 1 species